UGCCGCGUGUGUGAGAAGGCCUUAGGGUUGUAAAGCUCUUUUUUAGGGAAGAAAAGCUGGGACGUGUACCGAGUUUGACGGGACUGUAACAAUAAAGAACGGCCAACU
rnacentral:rRNA from 1 species